CCGAGCCGGCCCUUUCCAGGGCCUUAAAGGGACCGCCGCGGAGCCCGAAAUGGAUGCUCCUUAAAAAAAAAAAAAUGGGAGAUGGCGCCGCGGUGGUGAGAUGCCGUAGAGACUGGUCCUGACCCGAAAGAGAGUGAGCUUUCUCCUCCACAGGUUACCAUGGACUUAAUGUUCCGACGCACCGCCCGCCUAGAAUAACAGGAGCUAAGAACUAUAGACAGACACUGGGAGCCAUACUGAAUCUUCACCCCUUUAAAGUUGUCUACACACGAAUGCAGCGUCCAACAGAAGAAAUCUAGUCCACAAGCAGACUGUUUAAGAUGGGUGUUUGAUGCUUGCCUACUGGAGCCAGCCCUGCAUACAGAGCUGUGUAUCACAAAGGUUUACAUGAAGCAUUUUACAGAUCUUGAUCAUCGUAACACUGCAAAGUUGACAUGGCCAUUGUCUCCGUGUUACAGAGCCACAAAAGUUAAUAAGUGAUGCAAACCCUGUACUGACUCACACCGCUACCUACUAAGGGUAAGGAAGUGUCCAGUCCUCCCCUACUGAGUGCAGUGCCCAGCUAGAGCAACACUGUCAAAAAAAAAUGAAACAAGGGAGGACUUGUCCAGGAAGCUCUAAGCACAGGCCAGUGUACCUCUAGGUUGCCCUGGAGAAGAUCACUGUGGACAAUAUGGAGGGAUCUGCCUGGUGCUGAAGAUACCUCGGUGUGGACUGUGGUUACACAGGAAUAUGCAGAUAUAAAAUUUCACUUGCAGUUUGUGCUUUUUACAGUGCACAGGUCUACUUCAAUAAACAUUCAAAUGCAUAAA